rnacentral:rRNA from 1 species
AUUGAACGCUGGCGGCAGGCCUAACACAUGCAAGUCGAGCGGAUGAAGGGAGCUUGCUCCUGGAUUCAGCGGCGGACGGGUGAGUAAUGCCUAGGAAUCUGCCUGGUAGUGGGGGAUAACGUCCGGAAACGGGCGCUAAUACCGCAUACGUCCUGAGGGAGAAAGUGGGGGAUCUUCGGACCUCACGCUAUCAGAUGAGCCUAGGUCGGAUUAGCUAGUUGGUGGGGUAAAGGCCUACCAAGGCGACGAUCCGUAACUGGUCUGAGAGGAUGAUCAGUCACACUGGAACUGAGAAACGGUCCAGACUCCUAAGGGAGGCAGCAGUGGGGAAUAUUGGACAAUGGGCGAAAGCCUGAUCCAGCCAUGCCGCGUGUGUGAAGAAGGUCUUCAGAUUGUAAAGCACUUUAAGUUGGGAGGAAGGGCAGUAAGUUAAUACCUUGCUGUUUUGACGUUACCAACAGAAUAAGCACCGGCUAACUUCGUG